AAUAGGUUGCGAAGCCGCGAGGCGGAGCCAAUCCAGCCAAAAACUUCCCUCAGUUCAGAUUGCAGGCUGCAACCCGCCUGCAUGAAGUUGGAGUUGCUAGUAAACGCAGGUCAGCCAUACUGCGUUGAAUACGUUCCCGGGGCCUU
rnacentral:rRNA from 1 species